GCGGUAGUUGUCUAAUCUGGUUAGGAUACGACCUUGCCAAGGUUGUGGUGCGGGUUCAAAUCCCGCCUACCGCA
rnacentral:tRNA from 1 species